UAUUAUUAUUAUUACAGUGUGCACUAUUAUUAUUAUUAUUUGUAAGAUCUACGGAUCUUUUCUUAAAUCUUGAUGUUCAGGUUGAAUCCAAAAAUCGUGAUCUAAAGAAGCACAUGAAGAUCUUCUCAUCUAACUCUACACUUGUUCCUACUAUAUAUACACGAACAUUUAUUCAAAAUUAUAUAUAAGAUUUUAUCUGAGAAUUUAACUAAAGUUUAUGUUAAAUGUAUUUUUCUGGCCUAAAGUUUAGAUCUUCAAGCUUGAAAAGCUUUUUUAUAAUGUCUAGUUUAUAAUUUAAAAGAGCCUAUAAAAACAAAAUUAUAUUAAUGGUCUAUAUAUUUCAGACCACAAUGGGCUAGUUAGCUGCCCUUUUUUAAUCCUGUUUAGUACUCCAGGCUGUGCAAUACUAGGUCAUUCUUGUAUCUCAACGCCUGUUUGAACUAUGAACUAAUAAAUUAACAGACCAAGUUCUCCUCUGAGGUGUCCUCGCCGUAUUCCUGAACGAGGAUGACAGCUUUAACAUGAGGGAGAGGCUGUUUGUAUACAUGUUCUGUGGACUGCCUGCGGAGUACCUCCCGGCUGAGCACCAAUGUCCUCACCUCCUCUCUGAGAAGUCCCGUCGGAAGUAACUGUGCUUCUCUAAACCGGGACUGCUGCUUUCGAGCAGACAAAGAUCCCAUAUACAUCUCUACUUCCUAUCGGAGAAGUACCCUCGCCUCUUCUCGGAGAAGUAUCCUCGCCUCCUCUCGGAGAAGUAUCCUCGCCUCCUCUCGGAGAAGUCCCGUCGGAAGCAUCUGUGUUUCUCUAAACCGGGACUGCUGCUUUCGAGCAGAUAAAGAUCCCAUCUACAUCUUUACUUCCUCUUGGAGAAGUAACCUCGCCUCCUCUUGGAGAAGUAACCUCGCCUCCUCUCGGAGAAGUCUCGUCGGAAACAUUUGUGUUUCUCUAAACCGGGACUGCUGCUUUCGAGCAGACAAAGUUAUGUAAAAGAGACAGCUGGUCACAAACAUCCAACUCUAGAGCUAUUAAAUUCUCCGGCCUAAUCAACUUUGUAAGUGUUAUCUUAAUUUAUAUAUAUUUGUUACAAUUUAUUCACAUUUAGUACAUUGUAAGUGUUCUUUUAACUAAAGAAUAUAAAGAAGAAGAAAUAAAGAAUAUAAGAGACUCAUGUGUAUUAAAGAGGUGCGCAAUGGAGAAUUGAUGUUGCCCCAUCAUGUUAAUAGCUGAACAAUUCCUGUGGAUCUAGGUAUUGU